AGGAAACCCAACAUACGUGGAUCUAUAAUGGGUUAUUGAUGAGUCACUGAUUUGAAUCAAUAAUACUGCUUUUUUCUGGGGAAGGACGGGCACAGACGGACUGGCGUACUUCAGAAAUCUGGAGCGAAGCCGCGCGGCUUCUCACGCAACGGAUUGAAGGAGAACUUCAAAGGGAUUAUGGGAAAUGGCGUAUGAGGACACCCAAGGACCCGGGGAGCGAGCAGAACAGGGCGGGAGACAGAGGAGGCCUGCUGCAGGAGUAGGGGUAGCAGAGCGGAGCCCAGACCACUGCCGCCUCAAUUGCUUUGAGGAAAAGGUGACCUGGCGUGACCUGAAUCAUCCCAAAGUGAGGCACAGGGAUAGGGUUGGAUGGGAAGCAUUUUUUUUUUUUGGUGCUGAAUUUUGGAAAAAAGAACAUAGGCACUGGAACUCAUUCCUGUUGAAGGUUUCCAUGAAUGGAUGCCAUGAGUGAGUACUUCAGCAUUCACACACAUGGCUGCGGCACCUGUUCUAACAAAACACUCGUGUGCCACACCAAAGCCCGACAAAUCCCAUACCACCCCUGCUGCCUCUCCGGCAUUAAAACUGUUGCAAUGCAUCCUGGGAAUGAAGAGUAUACCCUCCAAGGUUUAGAUUCCCCCUCCCCCCCCCCCC